ensembl:piRNA 21ur-10505 ncRNA
UUUUGUGAAAUUUUCGGUUCA